AUUGUGGUUUUAAUUUGCAUUUCUCUGAUGAUUAGCGAUGUGGAGCAUCAAUAAGAUUUUUAAAAAGCUUGAGUCACAGGUAACAAAAAGCUGAUACAAAAACUGUUGUUGGUGUUUGGGUGUACCUGUGUAUGUGUUUGCCUUUGACCUAACAGUUCCCCUUGUAGUAACUUACGCUGAGGCUGUACCUCCACAGAUACAGAAACAUCAAAUGUACAAGGUCUUUCAUUGCAGCAUUAUUUGUAGUAUAAAAUGGGACAACCUGAGUGCCCAUCCAGGGUGAGUGAGCUGAGGUACAUCUACGUGACAGAAAACUGCAGCUGCAGAAAUAAAAGAAAGACUCCUGUGAAUGGUAGGGAGUGAUUUCUAAGAUAUUUCAAGUGAUGAAGAAAGUACAAAUGAGUGUACUUCAAUAAAAUGUGGUAAGAAAGACUGGUACUGUUCGGUGUCUCCUACUGUUUGGAGGCUCCUGGCGCAGACAAGUUGGAGAGACAAGGAGGACGGUGGGUGCCAGGAGAAGGGGGUGGUGUGUGUGUUCACUGGCUGGAGUUUCAGUUGGGGAAGAUGAGAAAAUGCCAGGUAUGGGUAACAGUGACGGUGGUACAACAGCGUGAAUGUUUGUUUGUUUUUUGGAUCCACUUUCAACUUAUUACUCCAUCAGAGAUUAUUUCUGUUUCUUCUGUUGUUUAAAGUCUUUCUAAACUGAGAUCCUUGGACAUGCUAAUUUCGUUUCAUGUAUUAGCUAAUCCUGUGAAAUCUCCUUUACACAUCAGUUCGAAUUGAACUAAACUGGCUUGUUUUCACCUACCACAGAGAAAUCUUCCAGAGGAGUUGUCAUCUUUAACAGUUCCAUCUUAUUUGUUUCCUGCUGGCACCUCUUGAUCUUUGGUCAGUUCUGUCCAUGUGGAGGCACGAUCAGAAGGACCCCCUUCUUCCCGAGGAGCUGAAGGACCUGAAUAGCAUCAUAUCAGCAUUUGUAUUCCUGGACCCUUCUUCACAUGAGAGUAUCAAAUGCCUUCCUGAUGAGAUGGCCUGAGACUUGCUAAGUGGCUUAAAGAACUUGUGAUACGUCGAGGAUGGGACUGCUUUCUGUGGAAACGAGAAGUACAGGGACAGGGUGACCAGGGUGGUUCUUUCUCCUCUGUCCUUUCCCCCUGCUGGACGGCGUGACUGGUGGUGGUCUCCCCAGGACUGGCUGGCAUCUUAACUUCCUAAAUAGCGUCCCCUCUGCUGGAGGACAUCCCCUUGCUUUGCUGCCAGUGUCCUGUUGGUCGUCUCUCAGAAGGUUACGGGGGAGUCUUCACCAAGAUGUUCAGAAGACACAGUGAGAUGCUUGUCCUUUACCGGAAGAAAGGCUGACUUCUGAAGAUGCCACGUGCCCAGGCUGUGACCGUCCAUACCAGGAGAAGCACCGGGGGCUGUGUCUCCUGGCAGCACAGCCGAAGAGCUGGAGAGGCAGGGUGUGAGGAGGCGCGACGAGGUGCCCCCCACCGCCCCCCCACUCCUUCAGCUUCCCUAGAGACAGAGGAAGAUACACUUGGCGCCAUUUUUCUUCAAACUGACAUUCCUGGUGACUGGAGUCAUAGCUGUCCUUUUUAUUUUCCUUUUUCUCUUUUCACUAUUAUGUUUCCUACUACUUUUUUUUAUUAAGGUAUCAUUGAUAUACAAUCUUAUGAAGGUUUCA